GGCUGGUCGGCAUGCAGUGGUAUUUAUAACUAAUUGAUCACAACCAGUUACAUGUUUGUUUCUUCUCUACCCUUGACUAGCUUAUU
rnacentral:sRNA from 1 species